ensembl:lncRNA
CAAUUGCACGUGAGUUAGCUAAUUGCUCACAAUGAGGAAAUCUUAUUUGGACAAAUUUGCCUACUUGAGCAAAACAUUCCUCGGAUCUUGUCCCCUGGACCUUGGACUUUUGGUGUGGAUGAUCAGGGCCUACCAAAGCAAGGUUUCUCAAACUGUGGGGUGUUUGUUUUGAUGUACACUCUGUACAUUGCAAUGGAAGCACAGGAAACAUGCAGAAAAUUAGGUGAUGGUGGUGCCUCGUUCUCCUGCAGAACUUUCCCAUGCAGUCUGAAGAGGUUGAAAGAUUGAAAAAGGCGGCGAAAACAAAACGCACUACAGGAAUAUGUAGAAGUUGUCCCCCUCCCCCCCAAGAAAACUCUGCAUGUCACAUCAGCAUCCAGCUCUGCAGGAUCAGGAAGCAGAUGUUCUUUUCAGGGACACACUAGAGGCAGCAAGGUGGUGCAAACUCAGUUUUAAAGGCACUGGUUUCCCUCCCUAGUGUAAUGGGGAUGGACGGGGAAGACCGCAUUACAACCCUUAAAGAACUACGGUUGUAUGAAGAGGAAAACACUCUCCUCAAGGAACCAUUCAUGUUACAGAGAGAUUAUGAGAUGUUCUAUGUGGAGGCAGUUGACAAGAAUUAUUGUCUUUGCCUCUCUGUUGAGGAGCAGGAUUGAAGCCAUUUUUGAGCUGUGGUCAAACCUUGUUUUUGUCUGUGGUGUUUGUUGUUUGUUUCAUGUUGUUCAGUAAAGAUGUAGAAGUCA